CCAAGAGUGACUCACCCAGUGAAGACCAGAGUACUUAUUGUUCCAAGUGUCAAAAUCUGCAGAACUGCCUCCAGGAUUUGGGUCUCAUCCAGCUUCAAUGAACGAAACAUUCCAGCAUCUUCCUCCAGUACCUGUGAAUGCUGCAUUGUCUUCUCCCUGUGGCUUUUGUUUUUGAAAGCUCAUAAAGAGGAACCCAGGAAGUCAGGAGACAGCAGGGUGACCAUUUCCGUCCCCAGAACAGCCUUCAGCCAGUUUCUACAUGCCUCUUGCCAGGGACCAAACUGGCACCUAGGCUGCCCCGGAGGACGCAGAAAACCAGGACCCGGCUGGGGGCUGAAAUGUACUCCAUUGAAGAAUCCUCUGGCCUCCUCAGCACUGGAAGGACCAGCCAGCGGCAGUGAGAGUUUAUCAUUUGGAGGGAGCAUCUGCAUCCUCAGUAGUACUGGAGAGUCACAUCCAGGCUCAGUCCCAGAGCCCGAGUCCUGAUUGGUCCAAGAUGUUGAUGCCCCUAGCCAGAGAUUGGGCUGCUCGUGAUCACGUGGCAAAAUCUGGCCAAUGGCAGCCCUCAGCGGCCCCUCUGCCGUCACAUCAACCUUACACAGAAUGUGUCUCCACGCUCAGUAGCCAAUAACAAAAAUGAUGAAGAAUCUGAUGCAGACGCGGAUAAUUGCUCUGGCUUCCUCCCGUGAAUUUAAAUAGCUUUCUUGAAUUACUGCUUUUGACAUGAUCAAUAAAAUUGAGCUAUUGCUAUAUCAGGCCUUUCAGCAAAUACACAGAAGCCGUGCUCCAGGGCUGGUGGUUCAGGGACUCCAGCUGUCCCGGUGGCUGGGGCCGUGGUCUUAGGGACAGUUGAUGGAGUGAGGACAGGGAUGAGCUGGACCAGCCAGCAGCCAAAACAAGAAAAGCUGAUCAGCUUCAGCAUUCUGCCUUCCAGUUGACCUCAGUUUUCUUAUACUCCUUCCCCCACCAGCCAUGUGACCUUGGGCAUUUGCUAUGUCAUGCUUUGAGCCUCAUUUUUCUCAUCCACACAAUGGGAAUUUUAAUGGUACUUGCCUCAUGGGUUGCUGUGGGGAUUAAGUAGGGAGACACAGAAAGUUCAAUCCAGUGCAGGCCCUUGGGG
ensembl:lncRNA